rnacentral:rRNA from 1 species
CAGAGGGAAAAGGAGCAAUCCGCUUUGAGAUGGCCUCGCGUCCGAUUAGCUAGUUGGUGAGGUAAUGGCCCACCAAGGCAACGAUCGGUAGCCGGACUGAGAGGUUGAACGGCCACAUUGGGACUGAGACACGGCCCAGACUCCUACGGGAGGCAGCAGUGGGGAAUAUUGCACAAUGGGGGAAACCCUGAUGCAGCGACGCCGCGUGGAGGAAGAAGGUCUUCGGAUUGUAAACUCCUGUUGUUGGGGAAGAUAAUGACGGUACCCAACAAGGAAGUGACGGCUAACUACGUGCCAGCAGCCGCGGUAAAACGUAGGUCACAAGCGUUGUCCGGAAUUACUGGGUGUAAAGGGAGCGCAGGCGGGAAGACAAGUUGGAAGUGAAAUCUAUGGGCUCAACCCAUAAACUGCUUUCAAAACUGUUUUUCUUGAGUAGUGCAGAGGUAGGCGGAAUUCCCGGUGUAGCGGUGGAAUGCGUAGAUAUCGGGAGGAACACCAGUGGCGAAGGCGGCCUACUGGGCACCAACUGACGCUGAGGCUCGAAAGUGUGGGUAGCAAACAGGAUUAGAUACCCUGGUAGUCCACACCGUAAACGAUGAUUACUAGGUGUUGGAGGAUUGACCCCUUCAGUGCCGCAGUUAACACAAUAAGUAAUCCACCUGGGGAUGUA